CAAAUCACACACCACCGUUUGAUCAUGAUCACACGGCAACCAAUCUACUACAAAAACUUUAAAAUUUGUCGACCAUGUCCAUAUAUAUGAAAUGCUAAGCCUAUGACCUUUGCCUUUCUAUAUAAAUUCAAUAUCUUUUUCACUGACAUUCUCCAAAACAAAAAUGAAUAAUCGCUUUCUCAUCAGCUGCAGCCUCUUUCUCAUUGCUUUUCUCAUUUUCUUAGCUCAAGCAACUGGUAGGAGCUUCCCUUCUGCACCUUACGCCACCAGAAGCCAACACCCUUUUCGCUCCCGGCCACAGCCGGCGCUGGUUAAUGCUCCCUUCCAUGGCCGAGCUAAAGAGUUUGAAUCCCAGAAGCGAAAAGUUCCUACAGGAUCAAACCCGCUGCACAACAAGAAGAGACACUGAAUAUGAUAUGUUGAAGAUGAUUGCAAUUGAAAGAUGUAUCCAUCAAACAGCUAAACAAAAUUCAAGAUUGUGGGCUGCAACUUGCAACUCUACCACUUUUUAUUUAAUUUCCAUCAAAAUUAUAGUAACCCAAUUUCAGUUUUCUCUGAUACAACCAUUGAGAGGUAGCUGCUGAGUCUGAGUUAGUCCGCACAUCUUCUCAUCCAUAGACCUAAUUUUAAUGGGGAGUGUAAUUAAUACCCUUUAUUUCAUACAACCACCAUGCAAUUAAGAUACCCAUUAUGCUUGUACAGGCAAAUAUGGAAUGGAAUGGAAUGGAAUAUAUGCUGGGCAGUAGCUAGCUCUGUUUGGUC